rnacentral:rRNA from 1 species
CCUACGGGAGGCUGCAGUGGGGAAUAUUGGGCAAUGGGCACAAGCCUGACCCAGCAACGCCGCGUGAAGGAAGAAGGCCCUCGGGUUGUAAACUUCUUUUUAUAGGGACGAAGAACGUGACGGUACUUGUUGAAUCCAACUCGGCUAACUACGUGCCAGCAGCCGCGGUAAUACGUAGGUCGCAAGCGUUAUCCGGAUUUACUGGGUGGAAAGGGCGUGUAGGCGGGAUAGGAAGGCAGACGUGAAAUUCCAGGGCUCAACCCUGGAACUGCGAUUGAAAUUGUUCUUCUUGAGUGUAGGAGAGGCAGGCGGAAUUCGGGGUGUAGCGGUGAAAUGCAUAGAUAUACGGAGGAACACCAGUGGCGAAGGCAGCCUGCUGGACAUUAACUGACGCUGAGGCGCGAAAGCGUGGGGAGCAAACAGGAUUAGAUACCCUUGUAGUC